UACGAAGGGUGCAAACGUUGCUCGGAAUUAUUGGGCGUAAAGGGCGUGUAGGCGGCUCUGUGUGUCCCAUGUGAAAUCUCUCGGCUCAACCGGGAGAGGUUGUCCGAUACUUCCAGACUUGAGGGCAGUAGAGGGUGGUGGAAUUCCACGUGUAGCAGUGAAAUGCGUAGAGAUGUGGAGGAACACCGAUGGCGAAGGCAGCCCCCUGGGUCGAUACUGACGCUCAUGCACGAAAGCGUGGGGAGCAAACAGG
rnacentral:rRNA from 1 species